rnacentral:tRNA from 1 species
GGGUCGAUAGCUCAGUCAGGCAGAGCGAUAGGCUCUUAACCUAUCGGUCAAGGGUUCAAAUCCCUUUCGACUCG